CGGCAGCCGACCUUUUGCCUCACUCCGGCUCCCAUUGGGGCAGCCGCCGGCCAAUCCCCUGCCGCGAUAUCUCCCUCCAACGGCAACAAUCCUGUGGUCCGUUGGCCGCCAGUGUCGUAAAACCGCCGUACCGGAGCCGGCGCGCAGCUUUACGGCAGCAGCGGCCCGACGAGCUCGGCGGGGUGGGGGGUAGGCGGUGCGGAGCCGGCCCGCCGGGGUGUGCACGCGCGCUCGCGCGGGGAGCUGGAUGCCCGGGGGCGGGGGGAGCCCGGCGCCCUGCACUCUGGUGGGAGCGGAGGCGGGGGCCCCCGGCGCCGGCGGGGAGGCGGGCGGCGCGGCGGCCCCGGCGGGCAGGAUGAGCCUGUCGCCCAAGGAGCUCUCGAGCCUGCUGAGCAUCGUCUCGGAGGAGGCGGGCGGCAGCACCUUCGAGGGCCUGUCCAGCGCUUUCCACCACUACUUCGGCAAGGCCGAGCACUUCCGCCUGGGCUCGGUGCUGGUGCUGCUGCUGCAGCAGCCCGACCUGCUGCCCAGCCCGCCGCAGCGCCUCACUGCGCUCUACCUGCUCUGGGAGAUGUACCGCACCGAGCCGCUGGCCGCCAACCCCUUCGCCGCCAUCUUCGCCCACCUGCUCAACCCCGCGCCCGAGCGCGGCGACGAGGCCGAGCGGCCGCCGCUCUCAGGUUUCUUACCUCCCAUAACUCCACCAGAAAAAUUCUUCCUUUCCCAACUGAUGUUGGCUCCUCCUAGAGAACUCUUCAAGAAGACUCCUCGACAGAUUGCCUUAAUGGAUAUAGGAAAUGUGGCCCAGUCAGUGGAUAUAAGUGGACUUCAGCUAGCACUAGCAGAGCGUCAGUCUGAGUUGCCAACACAGAGCAAAGCUAGCUUCCCCAGCAUUCUCAGCGAUCCUGACCCAGAUUCCUCAAAUUCUGGUUUUGACAGCUCUGUUGCCUCACAGAUCACUGAAGCUUUAGUGAGUGGACCAAAACCACCUAUAGAAAGUCACUUUCGACCAGAGUUUAUCCGGCCACCACCUCCACUCCAUAUUUGUGAGGAUGAGCUGGCUUGGUUAAACCCAAUAGAGCCAGAUCAUGCAAUUCAGUGGGAUAAGUCAAUGUGUGUUAAAAACAGCACUGGAGUGGAGAUCAAACGCAUCAUGGCUAAGGCUUUCAAAAGUCCUUUGUCCUCUCCCCAGCAAACACAGCUUCUUGGAGAAUUAGAAAAGGACCCCAAGCUUGUUUACCACAUUGGCCUCACUCCUGCCAAACUGCCUGACCUGGUGGAAAAUAAUCCUUUAGUUGCUAUAGAAAUGUUGCUUAAGCUAAUGCAGUCCAGUCAGAUAACAGAGUAUUUUUCUGUCCUGGUCAACAUGGACAUGUCUUUACAUUCAAUGGAAGUUGUAAAUCGACGCCUCCCCUGUUAUCUCUACUGUUUUGCAGCAGGCAGAAUGAACAGGAGCAACAAGAAACACACAGUUCUUGUUCAUUCAGUCAGCUGGAGAGAUGUGCCACCUGCUAUAGAGGGAAAAGUCCUACAUCUGGAGUCAGUGCAGUGAUUCUUUAACAGAAGGCUUACUACAGCAGUUGAUCUCCCUCCUGAAUUUAUUCACCUUUAUAUCUCCAAUUGCAUCUCUACCUGUGAACAAAUUAAGGAUAAAUACAUGCAGAACCGCCUGGUACGUCUCGUUUGUGUCUUCCUCCAGUCUUUGAUCCGGAACAAAAUUAUUAAUGUACAGGACUUGUUUAUAGAAGUGCAGGCAUUUUGUAUUGAGUUCAG